AUUUUUGGACAGAGGGAGUAAUAACGAUUAAUAACUAGAAUUCAUACAAUCGAUCAAAAGAAUACAUGUGAUAUAGGUUAAUUAAAUAUAAUCUUGACAAGCUUACCUAUCUAUUAUUUUACCAAAUAUCUAUCUUUUUUCAAUUACUUUAAAUUAAGUAGUCGGUUAUUCACUAAAACAUUAACUUAAAACCCUAUUAAUUGUUGAACGACAGUGAUAUCGCACCAGUCCAUGUGGAUAAGAUAUGAACAAUACUUACUUUUGAUUACUAAACAUCAACACCUUC
rnacentral:lncRNA from 1 species